UGGGGAAUAUUGGGCAAUGGGCGAAAGCCUGACCCAGCGACGCCGCGUGGGUGAUGAAGGCCUUCGAGUUGUAAAACCCUUUCGUGCGGAAAGAAUAGUCUCGUAGCGAAUAACUACGGGAUUUGACGGUACCGCAGGAAGAAGCACCGGCUAACUCCGUGCCAGCAGCCGCGGUAAUACGGAGGGUGCAAGCGUUGUUCGGAAUUAUUGGGCGUAAAGGGCGCGUAGGUGGUUGUGAUAGUCAGAUGUGAAAUCCUUCGGCUUAACCGAAGAACUGCAUCUGAAACUUCAUAGCUCGAGUACAGGAGAGGGAAACGGAAUUCCCGGUGUAGAGGUGAAAUUCGUAGAUAUCGGGAGGAACACCAGUGGCGAAGGCGGUUUCCUGGCCUGAUACUGACGCUGAGGCGCGAAAGCGUGGGGAGCAAACAG
rnacentral:rRNA from 1 species